rnacentral:rRNA from 1 species
CCUUGAGAAGCGGCGGACGGGUGAGUAAUGCCUAGGAAUCUGCCUGGGUAGUGGGGGAUAACGUUCGGAAACGGACGCUAAUACCGCAUACGUCCUACGGGAGAAAGCAGGGGACCUUCGGGCCUUGCGCUAUCAGAUGAGCCUAGGUCGGAUUAGCUAGUUGGUGAGGUAAUGGCUCACCAAGGCGACGAUCCGUAACUGGUCUGAGAGGAUGAUCAGUCACACUGGAACUGAGACACGGUCCAGACUCCUACGGGAGGCAGCAGUGGGGAAUAUUGGACAAUGGGCGAAAGCCUGAUCCAGCCAUGCCGCGUGUGUGAAGAAGGUCUUCGGAUUGUAAAGCACUUUAAGUUGGGAGGAAGGGCAUUAACCUAAUACGUUAGUGUUUUGACGUUACCGACAGAAUAAGCACCGGCUAACUCUGUGCCAGC